AAACUUGCAAUUAAAAAAAAAAAAAGAGAGCAUUCAGCCGAAUGAGCGAAUGGGGACUGAGAGUGAAGCAAUGGCAGAGCAAAACUACAUGGAAGCACUAGCGAAGCUCGAACACCGGCAGACCCUAAUCCUCCAUCGAAUUUCAAAGCUUGAGCUCGCAUACCUUCCAAAUCUCGACUCUGCAACUUCCUCUGUUCCCUCUGAUGGUGAAGAUGGCGACACCGUGGCUCGACUCUCUGCCAUUCUCAGAACCAAUUCUGUCAACGACUUCUCCUUCAAGAGAGUGCCUUCCGAUUACUACGAUUGGCCUCUCGAAGCGCGACGGGAUGUUCUUGAUGCCGCCUCCGUCGACCAUCUCUGCAAGAGCAUCGUUCUGGUAAAUACUCAAGCCCCAUCCCAUGUUGUUGAUUGCAGUGAUCGCAACAAUUCAAAAUACUAUAUUGUUGUUGUUCAGUAUACUGCCAAAUUUAAUGCUGAAACUGUUAAAAGCUUCCUGUAUUCACUCAACGAUGGCAAGAUAGCAAAAAAGAAAUUCAACUUGAGACUUGCUCCAGAGGAAACCUCUGCGAAACUAACUGGAUAUGAGCAUAAUGGAGUGACGUGCAUUGGCAUGAGAACGGAUAUUCCAGUGAUUUUGGAUGAAGCAAUUGUGAAACUAAAUCCUGAUUAUUUUUGGUUGGGCGGGGGGGAAAUCGACCUGAAGUUGGGGAUCAGAACAUCCGAAUUCAUAAACUUUGUCAAACCCUUCAUUAUCAAGUGUAGUUAGAAGGAUCCGUUUUCAGCUGGUUCGCACCACCCAAGCUUAACAACAAAUCAACACGACCAAUACUACAAGAAUCCAGAAUUUGUUGUUCAAAAUGGAACAACUGUGGAAUUCAUGUACGUAGAAUCAAGAACAAGCAGUGGCCAUAUCAAAGCAAAUUUGCCGGUAGCUUUUUGUGUACAUUUAUGAGGGCUGCUCCUUAACAUGGCUGCUUCUUGGCAAAUUACUAAGGUUUGGUUUGGUUUUCUCAACCAUUUGAAAGUGAAAUUUUAUUUUGAAUCAAUUAUGAUUCCGAGGUAUAGGAUUUGGAUAUUCAGAUCCAAUCCUUUUUGUAUUGAAUUUAUAUAAAAUAAGGAAGAAUUAGACCAUUUGCUUACUUCUUUUCUCUU